rnacentral:lncRNA from 1 species
AGCUGCCUUGACUGAGUAAGUCAGAGAAGGCUUCCUGGAGGAGAGCGAAGGGUGUGGGGCUGGGUUGAGAUACAGGAAGAUCUGGGUUUGAAUUAUAGUUUGGCUGCUUCCUAGCUGUUUGAUCUUGGACAAAACUUUCAUUCAUUCUAUAUUUUUUGGAGUGUCUACUCCAUGCCAAUCAUGUGUGAAAUGUUGGGAUAACAAAGGCGAAUUCAAUCUGGCUCUCGUCCUCGGAGCUUAAGCAAAUCAUCUGGGGUAGCGUGACCCAUGCUACGAUGGAGGUGGAAUACGGGGCUGCAGGGCGGGGCCACAGGACAUAGUGGGCAGCUUAACCUCCUUGAGCCUCCCUAUCCCUAAUUCACGUGAUGGGGUUUGUAACCACUUCUCACAUCGUUGAGAGAAAAGGGUGAGCCUGACUCAGAGGUGUGGCAAAGGAAGGGCAGGGCAGGCUUUAAGGACAGGGACAGGGCUGUCAGAGGCUGAGGCUAGGGAGGGGCAGGAAGGGGUGUGAGGCAGGGCGGAAGAGAGCAGGGCCCUGGGCAGGUGCUGAGCCAGGUCCUGCAGGUCACCCAGUCGCUUGAGUCCACGAAUGCUGGAGGCAGGCACUGGAGAGCCAGGGUGGUUCAGCCGCAGCUCCUCUGAGCAGGGAGUCAAACAGGGCUGAAACAGACACCAGCUCUCCAGGACCAGCUGCUCCAGGAAUCAACCUCUACCCUGAACCAGGUCCCUGAGGACCACCACGUGGCUGCAACACAGCAGGAGUUCACAGUCCAGAGGAGAAGCCCGAUGCUGAACAGAGAAUCACAUCCGUGAGCAACACAAAAGGCAAGGCAAACCCUGGGCAGAUGCCCCCGGGACUGUGUGUUAUGGGCCUACAGGAAGCCUCUCCCAAUGAAAAAGCAAUUUUUCAGCCAGAACCUCCACCAGUGUCUUUCAAACUGUGAGUGGCAACCCAUUUGUGGGUCAUAAAAUCAAUUUAGUAGUUGUGACCUGAAUUACUUGUUAGUGAAAUAGAGAGGAAUUUACAACAUCACACUUAGGAAAUACUGUUUUGUGAAAUGUUAGUUUCAGUUAUCUAUCUAUCUAUCUGUCUGUCUGAGAGAUCAUGUUUAUUAGUUAAGAUAUUAAAUGUAUUUCUUACUGCAGGUCUCAAUCAAAAACCUCUGAAAGCCACUGGCCUAGAGUUAGAGGAAGAGUUAGCCAUGAGAAAUGGUGGUGACACAGGUUCCAAAAGAAGAAACAAUAGGUAUCAGGCUCAGAGAUGAAAGGGCUAGAAGGAGGACACACCAAGUUCAAGGUCUGGCCUUUCUCGAGGGCAGUGGGGAGCCAUGGGAGGUUAGCAAGAUCCCAUCUUCUUCAUCCCUGGGCCUCACCCCAUGGGCAGGAGGGAAAUGGCAGGAAGUUGUCUUUGUGUCUCCCCAGGAGCCUGGACCUGUGGCCUUCCCUGCCUCCACCUGGGCCUCAACCGUCACGACCACCUGGCCUUUGAGGUAGGGUUUGGAGAAGGAAGUCAGCCUAUUAUCAGGAGAAGGCUUGAAUUUCUAUAUUCAUAGCUUGUUUCUGUCACUUACUAGCCUUGUGAUCAUGGGCAACUUGUCUAAUCUCUGUCCCUCAGUUUCCUCCUUUGUAAAAUAGGUCUCAUAGAACUCAUCCCCAAAAGUCCUUGUGAAGAUUUAGUUUGUAAGCCAGAUGUCUGCAGACCUCCAGUAAAAGAAUAUGUUUUUGGUAUUAGUAUGUAUGUCCCAAAUAUUGCUUGGAAUAUGCUUAUACAAACAAAAAUCAUUUGUUUUUUAUCUGAAAUUCAAAUUUACCUGGAUGUCCUGUAUUUUAUCUGGAAACCCUACACAGAAAUCAAAUGGCUCACGCUGUGUCUCAGAGCUGCAACGAUCCAACGCCCUCCAUCCUUCAGAGGCUGUCUGAGUCCGGGGACACAACUCCCACCCUCCUCUCCUGCCAGCCGCGGCCCGUGGCUGCUCUCUUCACUUCGUCCCGCUUCGCCCCGACUGUGGAUCUACCCGCUCCCUUCUCCCUCAGUCCCCAAAGCACCAGACUCACAGGCCUGCUGUGUGACCCACUUUUACCGACCUUUCGGGGAGAGUAGAGGGCAUUUGUGACUCAGCUCAGAGCAGGAAACACAUCUCACGUCAACUGUCAGACAGCGCUGCUCCGAAUCCCAUCACAGUGCUCCAGCAGGGGGCGUCCUCACCGGCCGCGGCCACAGCCACGGCUCAACCCGGCCUAGCUCCCAGACACCCUCCUUCCACCGCCUGUUUUCCACCGUCCCCGCCUGCUCUUUCAAGCCAGCAGCAAACAACACCCUAAUCCGUGUCUUUAUUAUUCAAAGACCUUAAGCACUCUUUCCCACCUCGUUCCCAUCUUGAUUAUUUCAGGGAAUGAAUUAGGGAUUCACCUUUACAAUCAAAAAAGUUCUCUCAAAGCCAGGCUACUGGAGUUCUAAUUCUGCCUUCCCACUUUUACUAGCUGUGAAAUCUCAGGAAAGUUACUUAACCUCUCUCUGUCUCAUUUUCCUCAUCUUUAAAAAACAGGAUGAUAAUAUUUAGCUCCUAAGAUGGUUGUGAGGAUUUAAGUGAGCUGAUAUAUCCAAGAAUGUCUAGAACAGCGCGUGGCAGAAUGGGCAUUGCAUAUGGGUUUAAUCUUGUAACUGCCAUGUUUCACCAAUUCUAAGGUGUAUCUCGUUUCUCAUCAUAAGAGCUCUUCCGCUCGUGUGGCAGCUGGGAGUGGCCGUCAUUGCCUGCGCAUACCUAAACUUGGUCAGCAGCCAAGUGUUUUGUGAGACCUAAGAAAGGAAGAGCCCCAUAAGUAAAUGGAACUGUUGUGUUGUUUUAUUACCGAGAAAAGGGCAGAAUGAUUGCUAGUCACACGUGAAGCAAGAAAACCCCGGCAAUAAAGCUUGCAGAAUGAGUGGCUGAGGCUUGAAAAUAAAUGGUGGAAACAAUAGUGGACAAUCUUUUAAAGAAUGGCACAUUGCCAAUGCUCCUGAUGGCACAGAAGGUGACACCAUGCAGAAAAUCAAGGCUCUGAGUCAAAGAGGGUUUCAGAAAAAUUGGACUCUGAAUGUGAAGAAAUCUGGGGACUAUUUUAGCCAAUUUGUUUUGCCUAUAAUUUCCUUUUAUGCAUGCAAAAGAGCAAUUCUGAC